rnacentral:tRNA from 1 species
GGGGAUAUAAUAUAGUUUGGUAGUAUUCUGUGUUUGCAUCACAGCUGCCUGAGUUCGAGUCUCAGUGUCUCCA